rnacentral:rRNA from 1 species
UACAGAGGUCUCAACCGUUGUUCGGAUUCAUUGGGCGUAAAGGGUGCGUAGGCGGUCGUGCAAGUCGGAUGUGAAAUCUCAGGGCUCAACCCUGAAACUGCAUUCGAUACUGCGUGGCUAGAGUGCUGGAGAGGAGACUGGAAUUUACGGUGUAGCAGUGAAAUGCGUAGAUAUCGUAAGGAAGACCAGUGGCGAAGGCGAAUCUCUGGACAGUUACUGACACUGAGGCACGAAGGCCAGGGGAGCAAACGGG